rnacentral:rRNA from 1 species
UACGAACCGUACGAACGUUAUUCGGUAUCACUGGGCUUAAAGCGUGCGUAGGCGGCCUUGCAGGUCGGGUGUGAAAUCCCACGGCUCAACCGUGGAACUGCGCCCGAAACCGUGAGGCUUGAGGAAAGCAGGGGUGUGCGGAACAGAUGGUGGAGCGGUGAAAUGCGUUGAUAUUAUCUGGAACACCGGUGGCGAAAGCGGCACACUGGGCUUUUUCUGACGCUGAGGCACGAAAGCUAGGGGAGCGAAC